rnacentral:lncRNA from 1 species
GCUCAAGAAGAUACAAAUGGGUUGCAUCAUUUCUUGUUCUACUAGCUUUCUCAGCUGCUGGACAAGUUGAAGAUGGUACGCCCUUCUUCUUCUCUUUCUACUUUACUCUUUUAAGCUUCACCAAAUUAAACUGCAUUAUUUUUUUCAUUAAUUAAUUUCAUACUUCAAUCUUGAUGAGAUGUAUGUACCUGCGUGGAAUUAGAUCUGUUGAAGAAUUCCGUUUUGUCCUCAUUUUCAGCUUAAAUGUAUGUUAAUUUACCAUUUAAGGACUCAAAUUUUAACAUUGAUAGAAACAUUUAGUUUUUAAGCAAUAUAUGUGUUCUUAAAUUUUGUUACCUCUAUCUCAAACAAGAUUAAUUUCCUCCAAUUUCGGAGCAGCAUUUUAAUAUAUGUUAAUAUCACAUGAAAAUAUUACUAUAAGUUACAAUAGAUUUUUUUAUAAUAUCUAAUAGCGUUAUUAAUGGCAGUAUUAUUAGCAUUAAUAAGUAAUCAUGUUGUUGAUGUUGAUGAUCAUGAGGUGUUAUUGCGACACCCUCACCCUGUGCUGUAAGAAUCAUGACAAUGCAGGGGUUAUGGUCUUCACUCUACACAAUUAAACCGCUACUUCUAUUUUGAUUUGCAUAUAAAAUAUUAUAAGUUCUCUUCAAUUUCUAUAUUUCGUAGUAUUCGUACACCGUCAUUGGGAGAGUAGGGGUAGGGGUUGUGAGUUGGUAGACGAGGCAAGCAGUCUCGUGACUAAUUUCAAUAAUUAUCAUUUGUUACAUUUUAAAGCACACAAAGGUACUACCGAUGGGACUUAUUUGUAAAUGUUCCUUCAUAUGUGACCAUAUUUGUGAAGAGCAGUGCCGUGUGAAGUGAAUGUUCCUUCAUAUCGUACAUUAUUUUGUGGUACGACUUUUAAAUGGGCUCAAUAAUAAAUACAUUUUCUUUAUAUGGGUGAAGGCUCAUUCCCUCUAUUUUUCCAUAAUGUGUUCAAAAAAUAUAACUUUAUGUAUAUAUAAGUCUUCAGAUAAUAGACACUAAGCUUAAAUUAAUUCCAAAAAUUAGCUUAUGAAGCUUAGAUCUUAAAAAGGAGACAAUAUCGGAAACAAAGACAACUAAAUCUCAACUUCAAUGAGUUGAUAUCGCCUAAGUGAAGAUAUAUUUUUGUUAUAUAUCUUGAGUAAAAAAUUUAUUAUGGAAAUUCUGGGUUACCUUCUCUCAGUGCUGAAAGUUAUAGAGAAAAACAAAAACAACCCCAUAAUAUUUAUACUUAUUAAAUUACCAAUCCAACCUGAGUGUUGCAGGUCCGUUAGUUAACGGUGAUUUUGAGACACCUCCAUCAGGCGGUUUCUCUUCCGGCGACGGAUUCUCUGAUGGCCCUCUCGUACUCCCCAGCUGGAAAACAAACGGCACGGUGGAGCUAGUGGAAUCAG